GUACCAGUAGCUUAAUGGUGCAUGAGCUCGCUGGCCUUGUACCCAGAAGGUCCUGGGUUCGAACCCCAGUGGGUGCG
rnacentral:tRNA from 1 species